AUCUACGGCCAUGCCGCCCUGAACAAGCCUGAUACCGUCGGAUCGCAGAAGUAGGGUCAGGCUUGGUUAGUACUUGUAUGGGAGACCACCUAGGAAGACUAGAUACUGUAGGCG
rnacentral:rRNA from 1 species